rnacentral:rRNA from 1 species
AUCCACUCCUCUCGCGACCCAACUCUCUGUCUCAUGCGACCCUCACGCCGCGACCAACGCCAUCGAUUCCGGCGACGUCCACCAGCUCGCAGCACACCGACGAGCUAGUCUCCGACCCUCCAUCCUCUGGUCCGGCUGGAUCCACCACUUCUGGUCUCCAGCACUCGCCCACGACCCCUCGCCUAUGGCUAGGGUUUCGGCUGCGGCGUCACGUCCAUCACCGGCUCGUCUCCGGCGGCUCCUCCCCGUCGGACACCGCGCCCUCUCCACCCCUGGGUGGCGCCCCCUAGCUAGGUGCGCUCGUGCGCGUUGGUCUGUAUGGCGUUGACCCCGACCUCCUUUGUUGCAUCUCCGGCGCGGCCGUGCAUCCCGUGCAUCAUGUGAUGGCCUCCUCUGCCGCGCGACGGUGGUAGCCAACCUGCACUGCGGCCGCUGCAUCGCCUACGAUCUUCUUCAUCAGUGCAUCUCCCACCUGAUCGACGCCGACGCCACGGUCCUCGAGCAGAACAGGGUUUGGCAGUUAAUCCGUGUUACUGGAGAUUGAAGAUUUUUAGCAGGAUUUCUUGGGUCCGGAUAGCUGCCUACAAUCGUUGGUGUUGGAGAUAAAAAUCAGCUAGUAGUGCAUUUUCUUUCAAGUGAUGUAACUCACUCUUAAAAAAAUACUUAUAGGGCUUUCUAGAUAUGCUCGUGAUGUUUUGAUAUUAAGCUUUGCUUUUUCAAAUCAGAUUAGAUUGUUGGAAAUCGCUAUUGUCAUGUAAACAAUUGCUAUUUUUUAAGGAAUAUAUAAUUUGGUUGUCC